rnacentral:pre_miRNA from 1 species
GAAAUACUCUCUUCGUCCAACAAAAGAUGUCUCAAGUUUGUCAAAAUUUGAAUGUAUCUAGACAUGAAUUAGUGUAUAGAUGCAUUCAAAUUUAUUAAAGACAUCUUUUGUUGUAUGGAAAAAAAUAUGAU